rnacentral:Y_RNA from 1 species
AGCUGGUCUGAAGAUACUGAGUUACCACAACUGAUUGUUCACAGUUACAGGCUGAACUGUUCUACUCUUUCCCUUUUUCUCACUGUUGCACUUGACUAGUCGCUUUU